CUCCAGCCCCGCCUCUCGUCUCCUCCGGCCGGGCGCGCCACGCACCGUUCCCCGCCGCGAUUGCUCCGUCACCCGACUCCCCCGGCUCGGAACCCUCCCCGUUGCUGUAGCAGGGCGAUUGCUCCUACCCCACCCACUGCUGGGCUCGGCCCCGGUGCUCCCCAAACAAUGCCACCAUACAGGUCACUCCAAGAACAGUUCCCACGAGGCCCUCAGCCCCGCUGACAGCCCGCCCCCUCCGGCCCACCAGACCCCCCAGGUCCACCUACCCAAUCCACGACCGCGAGGAACGGCGCUGCGACCACCAACCAAGCCCGUAGCCGCCGCCGCCGUCGCCAGCGCACCCACAGCGACCGGCCCUCCUUCCCUUUCCCCACGAGGUGCAUUUAUACGCUCCCACACCUUCCUGACACUUGCUGUAACUCCACCUUUCAGCUGACUCCCAUCAAUCUCGAUUUGCCAGCCCUCCGCGACGCCGGCGAGCCCGACUACCCCCCGUAGCGGGCAUGGGAUCGACGGCGCUCGGUGGUGCGGCUCCGGCGCGCGCCGGAUUGGCCCCCAAGAAUGGACUCCUUGGAUCUACUUUCAAGCCAUGUGGUGGUUUCAAGCUCAAAACAACUCCUAAGGUUGGACGCUCUUCAGUUUGUGUGAGAGCAUCCAUUGCUUCUUCACCACAAAAACAGUACUCUCCUAAGACACCAGCAGUUAAAUCAGGGGAGGAAGUGCGCAUUGCAGUGCUAGGAGCCAGCGGUUAUACUGGAGCUGAGAUUGUUCGGCUUCUAGCAAACCACCCUCAGUUCCGUAUCACAGUGAUGACCGCGGACAGAAAAGCUGGUGAACAGUUUGGAUCUGUAUUUCCUCACUUGAUAACACAAGACCUGCCAAAUUUAGUUGCAAUUAAAGAUGCAGAUUUUUCAGACGUUGAUGCUGUUUUUUGUUGCUUGCCACAUGGAACAACACAGGAAAUUAUUAAAGGCUUACCCCAGCAACUGAAGAUUGUUGAUCUCUCUGCGGAUUUCCGUUUGCGUGACAUCAAUGAGUAUGCUGAGUGGUAUGGUCAUGCUCAUAGGGCACCAGAACUUCAGGAAGAGGCUGUUUAUGGUUUGACGGAGGUUCUUCGAGAUGAAAUAAGAAAUGCUCGGCUUGUUGCCAACCCGGGAUGUUAUCCCACGUCUAUUCAGCUCCCUCUUGUUCCUCUAAUAAAGGCAAAACUGAUCAAGCUGAGCAAUAUAAUAAUUGAUGCAAAAUCUGGGGUUACCGGGGCAGGACGUGGAGCUAAGGAAGCAAAUCUGUACACCGAGAUAGCUGAAGGCAUUCAUGCUUACGGAAUAAAAGGCCACCGUCAUGUUCCUGAGGUUGAACAGGGAUUGUCAGAGGCUGCUGAAUCCAAAGUUACUAUCAGCUUCACUCCAAAUCUUAUCUGCAUGAAACGUGGGAUGCAAUCUACUAUGUUUGUUGAAAUGGCACCUGGAGUGACUGUCAGUGAUUUGUAUCAGCAUCUCAAGUCUACUUAUGAGGGUGAAGAAUUUGUCAAGCUGUUAAAUGGCAGCAAUGUUCCUCACACACGCCAUGUUGUUGGAUCAAAUUACUGCUUCAUGAAUGUCUUCGAGGACAGAAUUCCUGGAAGGGCCAUCAUCAUCUCUGUCAUAGACAAUCUUGUGAAGGGAGCAUCUGGCCAGGCCGUGCAGAACCUCAAUCUGAUGAUGGGACUGCCUGAGAACAUGGGGCUGCAAUAUCAGCCCCUAUUUCCUUGAUAUGUUGUGCCUUUGUUGUGCUCUUUUUCGAUGAUGCUUUGGAGUUAAGCACCCAUCUCUGUUUUCCGUUGAGAAGCAAAGAGCUGAAUGUCGGAGUGUAACCAAACUCGCUCAACAGCAAAACUUGGUUUGUGCUGGUGUAGUAUUUAGAGAUGAGCAACAAUUAGCAGUUGAAUAAGAGUAUGAACUGAGUGGCUUGGUGUAAUGAAAGUCCGAAGGCUAUUAUAUCCUACAGUGGAUUUUUGUCAUGAGAUCAAUAAAGCAGUGUAAAACCUGAUUCAGAGACAUCAACCAUUGCUGUCAGCAUUGGAUAAUAGUUAGAAGUGUGUUACUUUUAAAUAUUAAAGGAUAAAUUAGUUUUCAAGUUCUUUG
rnacentral:rRNA from 1 species